GGAGGGCUGGCAGAGCGGUUGAAUGCACCAGUCUUGAAAACUGGCAAGGGCUUAUACCCUUCGUGAGUUCGAAUCUCACGCCCUCCGCCA
rnacentral:tRNA from 1 species